AGAACUAAUAUUUCGAUAGGUGGAAUGAGGAAGUAACGCUCCGAAACGCCUCCAUAAUACUACGAUAUGCAGAAUUAUAUGUAUCAAUAAUUCUGUGUAAAGCUCGUUAAAGUCGGCUGAAAGUUGCCGUAACAGAUUAUGCUGACGCAAGUCGCUUUGAGGAAAGCGAUGCAACCGAUAGGUCGGUGGUCUAUAAA
rnacentral:ncRNA from 1 species